rnacentral:rRNA from 1 species
AUGCACGCUGGCGGCGUGCCUAAUACAUGCAAGUCGAGCGCACAGACGAGGAGCUUGCUCCUCUGACGUUAGCGGCGGACGGGUGAGUAACACGUGGAUAACCUACCUAUAAGACUGGGAUAACUUCGGGAAACCGGAGCUAAUACCGGAUAAUAUAUUGAACCGCAUGGUUCAAUAGUGAAAGACGGUUUUGCUGUCACUUAUAGAUGGAUCCGCGCCGCAUUAGCUAGUUGGUAAGGUAACGGCUUACCAAGGCAACGAUGCGUAGCCGACCUGAGAGGGUGAUCGGCAAAACUGAAACUGAGACACGGCCCAGAUCCCUACGGGGGGAAGAGGUGGGGAAUUUCCCCAAAGGGGGGAAAGCCUGAGGGGGCAACGCCGGGGGGGGGAGGAAGGGCUUCGGAUCGUAAAACUCUUUUAUUAGGGAAAAAAAAAUGUGAAAGUAACGAGGCCCGUCUGGGCGGUACCUAAGCAAAAAGCCACGGCUAACUGCGG